rnacentral:rRNA from 1 species
UACGUAGGGCGCAAGCGUUGUCCGGAAUUAUUGGGCGUAAAGAGCUCGUAGGCGGCGUGUUGCGUCGGUUGUGAAAGCCCGGGGCUUAACUCCGGGUCUGCAGUCGAUACGGGCAUGCUUGAGUUCGGUAGGGGAGAUCGGAAUUCCUGGUGUAGCGGUGAAAUGCGCAGAUAUCAGGAGGAACACCGGUGGCGAAGGCGGAUCUCUGGGCCGAUACUGACGCUGAGGAGCGAAAGCGUGGGGAGCGAACAGG